GCCUCCUUGGUUUAGUGGUAUAACGUCAGUCUUGUAAACUGAAGGUCGGCGGUUCGAUUCUGUCAGGGGGCU
rfam:Nematocida sp. JTm2807 1, whole genome shotgun sequence.